rnacentral:rRNA from 1 species
CAAUAGCGUAUAUUAAAGUUGUUGCGGUUAAAAGCUCGUAGUUGGAUUUCUGCCGAGGACGACCGGUCCGCCCUGUGGGUGAGCAUCUGGAUCGGCCUGGGCAUCUUCUUGGGGAACGUAGCUGCACUUCACUGUGUGGCACAUGAUCCAGAACUUUUACUUUGAGGAAAUGAGAGUGUUUCAAGCAGGCGCCUGUCGUGAAUACGUUAGCAUGGAAUAAUAGCAUGGGACCGCGGUCUGAAGCUGUUGGUUUUUGGGCCGUGGUAUAAAAAUAGGGAUAGUUGGGGGUAUUCGUAUUUAACUGUCAGAGGUGAAAUUCUUGGAUUUUUAAAGUACGGUACUACUGCGAAAGCAUCUGCCAGGAUGUUUUAUUGAUCAAGACGAAAGUUAGGGGAUCGGAAGAUAGGUCAGAUACCAU